rnacentral:rRNA from 1 species
GCUCUGUGGGAUCAGUGGCGAACGGGUGAGUAACACGUGAGCAACCUGCCCCUGACUCUGGGAUAAGCGCUGGAAACGGCGUCUAAUACUGGAUACGAGUAGCGACCGCAUGGUCAGUUACUGGAAAGAUUUAUUGGUUGGGGAUGGGCUCGCGGCCUAUCAGCUUGUUGGUGAGGUAAUGGCUCACCAAGGCGUCGACGGGUAGCCGGCCUGAGAGGGUGACCGGCCACACUGGGACUGAGACACGGCCCAGACUCCUACGGGAGGCAGCAGUGGGGAAUAUUGCACAAUGGGCGCAAGCCUGAUGCAGCAACGCCGCGUGAGGGAUGACGGCCUUCGGGUUGUAAACCUCUUUUAGCAGGGAAGAAGCGAAAGUGACGGUACCUGCAGAAAAAGCGCCGGCUAACUACGUGCCAGCAGCCGCGGUAAUACGUAGGGCGCAAGCGUUAUCCGGAAUUAUUGGGCGUAAAGAGCUCGUAGGCGGUUUGUCGCGUCUGCUGUGAAAUCCGGAGGCUCAACCUCCGGCCUGCAGUGGGUACGGGCAGACUAGAGUGCGGUAGGGGAGAUUGGAAUUCCUGGUGUAGCGGUGGAAUGCGCAGAUAUCAGGAGGAACACCGAUGGCGAAGGCAGAUCUCUGGGCCGUAACUGACGCUGAGGAGCGAAAGGGUGGGGAGCAAACAGGCUUAGAUACCCUGGUAGUCCACCCCGUAAACGUUGGGAACUAGUUGUGGGGUCCAUUCCACGGAUUCCGUGACGCAGCUAACGCAUUAAGUUCCCCGCCUGGGGAGUACGGCCGCAAGGCUAAAACUCAAAGGAAU